UACGAAGGGUGCAAGCGUUACUCGGAAUUACUGGGCGUAAAGCGUGCGUAGGUGGUUUGUUAAGUCUAAUGUGAAAGCCCUGGGCUCAACCUGGGAAUUGCACUGGAUACUGGCAGGCUAGAGUGCGGUAGAGGAUGGCGGAAUUCCCGGUGUAGCAGUGAAAUGCGUAGAGAUCGGGAGGAACAUCUGUGGCGAAGGCGGCCAUCUGGACCAGCACUGACACUGAGGCACGAAAGCGUGGGGAGCAAACAGG
rnacentral:rRNA from 1 species